GAUGAACGCUAGCGGCAGGCCUAAUACAUGCAAGUCGAACGGUAGAUCGGGUAGCAAUACUUGAUUGAGAGUGACGUAAGGGUGCGUAACACGUAUGCAAUCUACCCUCAACAGGAGUAUAGCUCGGGGGAAACUCGGAUUAACACUCCAUAACAUUACGAUGUGGCAUCACAUUGUGAUUAAAACUCCGGUGGUUGAGGAUGAGCAUGCGUCUGAUUAGUUAGUUGGAGGUGUAACGGACCCCCAAGACGAUGAUCAGUAGGGGAACUGAGAGGUUGAUCCCCCACACUGGCACUGAGAUACGGGCCAGACUCCUACGGGAGGCAGCAGUAGGGAAUAUUGGUCAAUGGGUGAGAGCCUGAACCAGCCAUGCCGCGUGCAGGAAGACGGCCUUCUGGGUUGUAAACUGCUUUAUCUGGGGAUAAAAAGCCCAUGCGUGGGACAUUGAAGGUACCAGAUGAAUAAGCACCGGCUAAACUACGU
rnacentral:rRNA from 1 species